CUCCCGGAUGUUAGCGGCGGACGGGUGAGUAACACGUGGGUAACCUGCCUGUAAGACUGGGAUAACUCCGGGAAACCGGAGCUAAUACCGGAUAGUUCCUUGAACCGCAUGGUUCAAGGAUGAAAGACGGUUUCGGCUGUCACUUACAGAUGGACCCGCGGCGCAUUAGCUAGUUGGUGAGGUAACGGCUCACCAAGGCGACGAUGCGUAGCCGACCUGAGAGGGUGAUCGGCCACACUGGGACUGAGACACGGCCCAGACUCCUACGGGAGGCAGCAGUAGGGAAUCUUCCGCAAUGGACGAAAGUCUGACGGAGCAACGCCGCGUGAGUGAUGAAGGUUUUCGGAUCGUAAAGCUCUGUUGUUAGGGAAGAACAAGUGCAAGAGUAACUGCUUGCACCUUGACGGUACCUAACCAGAAAGCCACGGCUAACUACGUGCCAGCAGCCGCGGUAAUACGUAGGUGGCAAGCGUUGUCCGGAAUUAUUGGGCGUAAAGGGCUCGCAGGCGGUUUCUUAAGUCUGAUGUGAAAGCCCCCGGCUCAACCGGGGAGGGUCAUUGGAAACUGGGAAACUUGAGUGCAGAAGAGGAGAGUGGAAUUCCACGUGUAGCGGUGAAAUGCGUAGAGAUGUGGAGGAACACCAGUGGCGAAGGCGACUCUCUGGUCUGUAACUGACGCUGAGGAGCGAAAGCGUGGGGAGCGAACAGGAUUAGAUACCCUGGUAGUCCACGCCGUAAACGAUGAGUGCUAAGUGUUAGGGGGUUUCCGCCCCUUAGUGCUGCAGCUAACGCAUUAGC
rnacentral:rRNA from 1 species